AGCAGCCGCGGUAAUUCCAGCUCCAAUAGCGUAUAUUAAAGUUGUUGCAGUUAAAAAGCUCGUAGUUGAAUUUCGGGAUCAAUAUGUUGGUCGUGCCUUGGUACGUACUGGCAUUAUUGGUUCCUACCUUCUGAAGAACCUCGAUGUCAUUAAUUUGGUGUCUUGGGGAAUCAGGACUGUUACUUUGAAAAAAUUAGAGUGUUUAAAGCAGGCUCGCGCUUGAAUACAUUAGCAUGGAAUAAUGAAAUAGGACGUUUGAUUCUAUUUUGUUGGUUUCUAGGAUCGACGUAAUGAUUAAUAGGGAUAGUUGGGGGCAUUAGUAUUCAAUUGUCAGAGGUGAAAUUCUUGGAUUUAUUGAAGACUAACUACUGCGAAAGCAUUUGCCAAGGAUGUUUUCAUUAAUCAAGAACGAAAGUUAGGGGAUCGAAGACGAUCAGAUACCGUCGUAGUCUUAACCAUAAACUAUGCCGACUAGGGAUCGGAUGAUGUUAAUUUUUUAAUGACUCAUUCGGCGCCUUACG
rnacentral:rRNA from 1 species